rnacentral:rRNA from 1 species
GGAGGAGCUUGCGUCACAUUAGUUAGUUGGUGGGGUAAAGGCCUACCAAGACUAUGAUGUGUAGCCGGGCUGAGAGGUUGAACGGCCACAUUGGGACUGAGACACGGCCCAAACUCCUACGGGAGGCAGCAGUAGGGAAUUUUCGGCAAUGGAGGAAACUCUGACCGAGCAACGCCGCGUGAACGAUGAAGUAUUUCGGUACGUAAAGUUCUUUUAUUAGGGAAGAAUAAAUGAUGGAAAAAUCAUUCUGACGGUACCUAAUGAAUAAGCCCCGGCUAACUAUGUGCCAGCAGCCGCGGUAAUACAUAGGGGGCAAGCGUUAUCCGGAAUUAUUGGGCGUAAAGGGUGCGUAGGCGGUUAAAUAAGUUUAUGGUCUAAGUGCAAUGCUCAACAUUGUGAUGCUAUAAAAACUGUUUAGCUAGAGUAAGAUAGAGGCAAGUGGAAUUCCAUGUGUAGUGGUAAAAUGCGUAAAUAUAUGGAGGAACACCAGUAGCGAAGGCGGCUUGCUGGGUCUUUACUGACGCUGAGGCACGAAAGCGUGGGGAGCAAACAGGAUUAGAUACCCUGGUAGUCCACGCCGUAAACGAUGAGUACUAAACGUUGGGUAAAACCAGUGUUGAAGUUAACACAUUAAGUACUCCGCCUGAGUAGUACGUACGCAAGUAUGAAACUUAAAGGAAUUGACGGGACUCCGCACAAGCGGUGGAUCAUGUUGUUUAAUUCGAAGGUACCCGAAAAACCUCACCAGGUCUUGACAUGCUUCUGCAAAACUGUAGAAACACAGUGGAGGUUAUCAGUUGCACAGGUGGUGCAUGGUUGUCGUCAGCUCGUGUCGUGAGAUGUUGGGUUAAGUCCCGCAACGAGCGCAACCCUUAUUGUUAGUUACCAGCACGUAAUGGUGGGGACUUUAGCAAGACUGCCGGUGAUAAAU